CUCACGACCCCGAAACCUUCCACUGGCGCUACAAAGACUUCGACGACCGGCCAUCCUCCUGCUACCGUCACCUCCGCACUGCCGGCUUUGACUAUACAGGGUAAAACUUGUUAUGCAUUGCAGUCUAUAAGGGCUAACGUCUGCUGCAACUUGUAAGGUUUCCCAGGUUAAUAAUGCUGUAUGAAUAAAGGAAUCAGAUGAUCUAAAGAGGGUGUAUGCCAAGAUGGAAGAUGAAGUUACAGAGCUUAGGCGAAGGUCCCAUGGGAUGGAAAAGAUUUUUAUUUGCUUUUGUUGCAUUUGAUGCACAACGAUGUAAACUGAUGUUUUUUCACUCCGACCAAUGUAGCUAGUUAGCUUCAGAUACUCGUCAAAUUUGGUGGAAUUUUCUAUCUGCCUUUUGGAAGCUAUACUAUUGAUACGUGGCCUUCUAUAUCUGGAGACACUCUUUUUCUCCAUCAAUUGUAUUACCUCCAUCACAAAUUUCUUGUCAAUUUUCUGUAUGCGUGUCAUUUAUAAA